UACGGAGGAUGCAAGCGUUAUCCGGAAUGAUUGGGCGUAAAGCGUCCGCAGGUGGCUGUGUAAGUCUGCUGUCAAAGAGCAAAGCUCAACUUUGUAAAGGCAGUGGAAACUACACGGCUAGAGUGCGUUCGGGGCAGAGGGAAUUCCCGGUAUAGCGGUGAAAUGCGUAGAGAUCAGGAAGAACACCGGUGGCGAAGGCGCUCUGCUAGGCCGCAACUGACACUGAGGGACGAAAGCUAGGGGAGCGAAUGGG
rnacentral:rRNA from 1 species